CCUUUUUCUGAACCAGGAAGUAACUUCCCCCAACGACCACGAGCGGUCGCCUCUGACGUGGACAGACCUUUAAAGCAGAACAGGCUGAUGGCUACAUGAAUGGGUGAAGUAGCCUUCUCCAACCGGAGCGGGGCGUGUCUCUGUGGGCGGCCUCCUCAGUGCGGUGCCGCUGCCUGUGCUGCUGAUGCUGCUGUGUCUCUUCCAGUGGAUGCAGGUGGAGAUGCGUCAAAUCCACCAGAAAUACCAAGAAGCAUCCGACAGAAACGCGGCGACGGAACCUCCAAAAUAAAAGCCACCGAAUGUGGGGAUGCAGGUGGAGCGAGUCGGCCAGGAUCGUUCACAUCUGUCUUGAAGGAGAGAGGGGGUAAAGAAAACCUACGUUCCGGUCUGAUCUACGCUCUGGAUAAAAAAAAAAAAAAGAAACAAAGAAGCGUGAACUGCUACAUAUUUAACCAGGGAUCUUUACAAACCUCCCCAAGACUGGAGAAUAUUAUCGGAGGGAUUGCUGCAAAACACAAGUAAUGACUUUUCUCUUCUUUUCUGUGACUACAUAUUUCUGUGGGGGGAUUUGUCACUCUAUGCUAAAGCCGUACACAUGAUGACAGGUGAAGUCCAGGAAAAAUGUCUUACAAAUAGACUGAACAUACCAAUAAUUAACAAUUGUUGGCUUUGUUCUUCUGAGAGGCAGCCAGCAGCAAACGAUGCGUAAUGGGUCAAUAUUUGGAGGAGAUUUGGGAGGCGAGUGGAUUCGUGGUCUGCUGUUUGUUUUCUGCGGUUCUGGGAGCAGACCCGUUGAAUUCGGUGUGAUGGACGUAUAUGUUUGAAGCCACGCGUGACAGAGUGUGGGAAUUCAGGAAAGAAAUAUCACAGUGAUCGCUGAAAGUCCGUGUUUCUGUAAGAUGUGGAUUUACUUACGCAGACGACUUGUGAAGGGUUAUUCUUCCAGCUUCCGACACUCGGGAUAUCGUUUUAUUUCAACAGCUCCUUUUGUUUUUUCUAAAUUGUAGACAGUGAGAAACAGUGUAGUCUGUUGAUGAUACAUGUGGCCUAAUUUUCACACACACAGCAUGCGUACUUGUACACGUACUUCUCCUUCACUCCAAAUCCCUGAAUUAAAAUGUUGCUGGAAUGCCGAUCGGGAUUUUGCCAAAAUAGCCUCAGUUUAUCAUUAAUUAUUACCAACUAAUUUAUAUUUUAAAUGCUGUAAUAGAAGCUUUAUGACGCGGGGAAUUAGGCCACCGGAGGGUAUAUUCUACUUUCUUUACUGGACAGCUGCAUUAUAAUUGGGUGCUGGAGGGCAGCCUGGCUGGUCAGACCCUCUGUGGUGUUCAUGCCCUCUGAGAAGUGUUUAUCUCUAAGUUGAUGUGAACAGCACGACGUGGUGAAAUGCGUACAGUACGUGGAUAUUUGGGGGCUUUAUAUAGCGCCGAGUCCUGCUGCAACUGUAUGCAGCGACUCCUGCGCCACCGUGUCGCCAAACGCCCACUGGGGUGCGUAACGGUGUCUCUACACAAAAUCCGCGAACCAGAGGAUAUAUAACAAGGACUACAAGCCGGUAGAUCACUGACUAUGUGAUACCAGUCGGGUUGUGGGUUUAGUUGUGCUAACAAUAAUUAAACAGAGCUGAUGUACGGUAGUUCAGAGCCGCAGAGGCAGCGAUGGGAGGUGAGGAGGAAAGCAGACACCACAUACCGAGGGUCCCUGUAAGCGUCUGUGGGAAAACUGAG